rnacentral:rRNA from 1 species
UUACUCUGAGUGACUUUCGCUAAGAAAGUCUUUUGGCACCUCUAAAAAGGGUGCAGAAUAAGGGGUGGGCAAGUCUGGUGUCAGCCGCCGCGGUAAUACCAGCACCCCGAGUGGUCGGGACGAUUAUUGGGCCUAAAGCAUCCGUAGCCGGUUCUGCAAGUCCCCCGUUAAAUCCAGCUGCUCAACAGAUGGGCCGCGGAGGAUACUACAGAGCUAGGAGGCAGGAGAGGCAAGCGGUACUCAGUGGGUAGGGGUAAAAUCCGUUGAUCCAUUGAAGACCACCAGUGGCGAAGGCGGCUUGCCAGAAUGCGCUCGACGGUGAGGGAUGAAAGCUGGGGGAGCAAACCGGAUUAGAUACCCGGGUAGUCCCAGCUGUAAACGAUGCAGACUCGGUGAUGGGUUGGCUUCGUGCUAACCCAGUGCCGCAGGGAAGCCGUUAAGUCUGCCGCCUGGGUAGUACGGUCGCAAGACUGAAACUUAAAGGAAUUGGCGGGGGAGCACCACAAGGGGUGAAGCCUGCGGUUCAAUUGGAGUCAACGCCGGGAAUCUUACCGGGGGCGACAGCAGAAUGAAGGUCAAGCUGAAGACUUUACCAGACAAGCUGAGAGGAGGUGCAUGGCCGUCGCCAGCUCGUGCCGUGAGGUGUCCUGUUAAGUCAGGUAACGAGCGAGACCCCUGCUUCUAGUUGCUACUCCUGUUCUCCGGAAUAGGAGGGCUAAUUAGAAGGACUGCCGCCGCUAAGGCGGAGGAAGGAGGGGGCUACGGCAGGUCAGUAUGCCCCGAAACCCUCGGGCCACACGCGGGCUGCAAUGGUAAGUACAAUGGGUACCAAUUCCGAAAGGAGGUGGCAAUCUCGCAAAACUUACCUCAGUUAUGAUUGAGGGCUGAAACUCGCCCUCAUGAAUAUGGA